UACGUAGGGUGCGAGCGUUAAUCGGAAUUACUGGGCGUAAAGCGUGCGCAGGCGGUUCGUUGUGUCGGCGGUGAAAGCCCCGGGCUUAACCUUGGAAUGGCCGUCGAAACUGGCGAACUGGAGUGUGGCAGAGGGGGGUGGAAUUCCGCGUGUAGCAGUGAAAUGCGUAGAGAUGCGGAGGAACACCGAUGGCGAAGGCAGCCCCCUGGGCUGACACUGACGCUCAGGCACGAAAGCGUGGGGAGCAAACCGG
rnacentral:rRNA from 1 species